GACGUCAUCCAGCCCCCAAGGCUCCAGGACGCAAAGGGUCCCCUGAUCUGGCAGUCCCUGGACCUACCCUGGAGAGCGUGGGGGGACAAAGGCCGGACGCGCCGCCCGCUGCCGCCUCCAGGAAGCCCUCCCUUGCCAGGACAGUGGAGUUGGCCGGGUGUGGACAGCAGGAAGGGCCGGCGGGAAGGGGGGGUGGAAAGAGCCACUCCUGGUUAAUAACUCUGCGGGGUUAACCUAGGGCCGGCCAUACUCAAGUACGGACUUGAGUAAAAUUCAGCAGGAAAAGGAGCAGGGUGGGCGCCGCUAGAGGGAGGCUUCAGGACUGAGGGUCAGAGGCCCAAGGCCUGGCAGGGCCCUUCCCUGGUCAGCUCCAGGCUUGGCCUGAUGCCCGGUGGGCCACGGGCCUCUUCCAGCCUCAGGCUGACCCCAGAGAAAGAGGACAGCCCACAAGCCCGGGAGGCCGGCUUGCUGCCUGGUCAUUGCUGCAGAGCCUGGAGGGGGCCUGCGCUCAGUCCCCGCUGACCGUCCCCUCCCUUGACCCUGCCAUAGCCAUCUGUGUAACCCAGGGGAAAUUAUUCCAAAGGGACUUCCACUUCUGAUAAUCUAUGAUUCUAUUUUCUAAAAAACAAAACUCUAAAAUGCUUAAUGUCAAACAUCUGUCAUCAGCUGAACAGGAAAAGGAACAGUAAGUACAAAGCAAGGCAACAUCAGAAAAGGGAGCCCUGAGGAAUUUCUCCCUCCUUCCCUGAGCCGGGUGAGGCCGUGACUGCAGCCUGACUCACAGGUUUUAUUUCACUUAUUAACCUAAAGAUGGUGAGGAUCUGCUGGUUCUCCCCCAGGCCUGGAGGCUGCCUACCAUCGGUGGCUCUCAUCGGUGAGCUGAGGCCACAGUUGUUAUAGUCUCUGACUUCAAAAGAAAGACCGAUUUCAUGAACAAUUGCCUGUCUCUCUCGACGGUGGCCUCGGUUUUUUGUUGUUGUUUUUCUGUUUGUUUUUGAGACAGAGUUUUGCUCUUGUAGCCCAGGCUGGAGUGCAGUGGCAUGAUCUCAGCUCACUGCAACCUCUGCCUCCCAGGUUCAAGCGAUUCUCCUGCCUCAGCCUCCAGAGUAGCUGGGAUUACAGGCGCCCACCACCACACCUGGCUACUUUUUGUAUUUUUAGUAGAGAUGGGGUUUCACCAUGUUGGCCAAGCUGGUCUCAAACUCCUGACCUUAGGUGAUCCACCCGCCUUGGCCUCCCAAAGUGCUGGGAUUACAGGCAUGAGCCACCACACCCAGCCUUGGUGGCCUCAUUUUUAGCAGCCUCUGCAAAGCACACAGCCUGAAUCCGUCACCUAGAGUCCCCAGCAUGCAGGAGAGGCGCUCUCAACCCGGGCUGGAGCCAUGAGCCACUCCCUGAGGGCACACAGGGCCUGAGUCUGGCUCCUGUGUGUUGCUGUGUGACAGGUGAGCUCAACAGCCCUAAGCCGUGACUUCCUGAGGGGCAGUGGUCAAGAUCCAAGGGAGGUAAACACAUGGCAGCUCUUGCCACCAGGACCCAGUAAGGCUCACGCGAGAGCAGGUCUCUGCUGUCCCUUUAUCACCAAGAGGCCAAAUGCUUUAAGGAAGAGAGCUCCAGCAGUGCACAGAGCUUGCAAUCCACUCCUUUAUGCCCCCUUUUCCUCCUCCUUAAAACCAGAUAAUUGGGCCAGAUGACCUCUGAGGGGCUCCCAGUUCUGCACUUUUUAAUACGCUCCCGUCUCUCAUGCCACAGGUCCUUCCAAAGUGCCUACGGAAAGCUUUGUCCCAUCCUUGAAAAAUUGCUAAUGGGUUUGGAGAUACGAGGUGGAGAUGACUAGCAAUCAAACUCAAAGGUGGAAGUCACAUCGAGGCAGAUGAGCAGAUGAGGGGACCUAGAGAAGAAGAGAGGUGCAAGGAGAGCCCAGCCAGCAGGAACAUCUGCCCCAGUAGGCAGCACUGCCCCACAUCAGAGUCGAGGAAAGCAAAGCUCGGAUUGGAUAAAAGAAACUUGCAAACACGGUCAGUGCUUACUGCAUGUGGGCUCAGAGCACGUUACCCUCCUUCCCUGCAUGUUCCUGUGAAACGGGUUUACUGCUCUAACUCUCAGGGACACUGUGAAGACCAAACGAGAAAAUAGAAACAAACAUAAUUUAUAAACCAUAAAGUACUGACACCAAAAGAGGGGCGAGCACAGCAUUGUGAAUGUGCUGGUACUAAAUGGUUUGUUUUAAGAUGAUUUUAUGGUGUGUGAAUUUCACUUGAAUAAAUUUUUUUAAUGGAGUUCAUGGGGACGCUGCAGGAUGUCAAUUAACUUUGGACAUUUUAGCAGCGCUUUAGGUGUUAAAAUUAUUUUUUAAAAAAUACAGGAUGAAGGGAAAAGCUUCAUGACAUUGGAUUUGGCAGUGAUUCCUUGGAUAUGACCCCAAAAGCACAGAUAACGAAAGAAAAAAUAGUUAAAUUGUCUUCAUCAAAAUUAAAACUUUUGUACAUCAAAGAACUCUUUCAAAAGAGUGAAAAAGUCACAGAAUAAGAGAAAAUCAUAUACCUGAUAAAGAAUUAAUAUUCAGAGCCAGAUGCAGUGGCUCAUGCCUGUAAUCCCAGCACUUUGGGAGGCCAAGGCAGGCAGAUCACUUGAGAUCAGGAGUUCGAGACAAGCCUGGCUAAAAUGGUGAAACCCCAGCUCUACUAAAAAUACAAAAAUUAGCCAGGCGUGGUGGCGUGCACCUGGAAUCCCAGCUAUUCGGGAGGCUGAGGCAGGAGAAUCGCUUGAACUCAGAAGGCAGAGGUUGCAGUGAGCCAAGAUCACACCACUGCACUCCAGCCUGGGCGACAAAGUGAGACUCCAUCUCAAAAAAACAAAACAAAACAAAACAAAACAAAGAGUUACUAUUCAGAAUAUAUUAAGAAUUCCUACAACUCAACAACAAAAAAAAAUCCAACCCAAUUAAAAAAUGGGCAACAGACCCAAAUAGACAUUUCUUAGAAGACACACAAAUGGCCAAUAAGCUCAUGAAAACAUGUUUAACAUCACUAAUCAUUAGGGAAAUGCAAAUCAAAGCUAAAAUGAGAUACCACGUCACACUCAUUAGGUGUUAUUUUUUAAAAAUAACACAACAACAAAAAAUAAGAAAUGUGGGCGAGGAUGUGAAGAAAUUGAAACCCUUGUGGACUGUUGUUGGGGAUGUAAAAUGGCGCAGCUGCUGGGGAAAACAGUAUGGGAGUUCCUCACAAAACUAAACAGAAUUGCCAAACGACCCAGCGAUCCUGCCUCUGACAUAUACUGGAAAGAACUGAAAUAAGGCGCUGGAACAGACACUUGUAACCCAUGUUCACAGCUGAGCCAAAAGGUGGGAGUAACCCAAAUGUCCAUCAGUGGAUGAAUACUGGCAAUAAAAGCUGUGUCUGGAGGCCACUCCGUUUCACACAGCUCUCCACACGGGUGAGGGCACAGCCUUCUCGUCUCUUUCCUAUGCUGCAUCUUCAGAGCUAGCUAUGAUAUGAUAUGAUGUGAUAUGUACAUAUCGAAUAUACAUGUUUUACAUGCAAAUGCAACCAGUUUAUUGAGGGCUUGAUGGGGGAUAUGGGAGUUGCGGGGGAGAAUGGUCUUGUAUUUCCAAUUUAAAAAUAACAACAACAAAACGGGACAGAAGUGCAAGACUUUUAGUGUUCUCUAGAGCAAUGUCACUCUGUCCCUAGACGAAUGGUAGGAGCGGGACAUGUUCAUAUGUCCUCGAGGUGUGACCGCACAUGGGCACACAGUAGCCCAAAGCAUAUCCCAGCCGGGAGCAGUUCCUUUUAUGGGGCCGCCUGGGCAGGAUCCAAGGUGCUGGGUUUGAAACAAAAAGGAGUGACUCUGUCCCACACCAAGUAACACCAAACCUCACUGACCUCAGUUUUCUUAUCUGUAAAAAGAGCAAUGCGGGGGCUGGCUCAGUGGCUCAUGCCUG
rnacentral:lncRNA from 10 species